UCUCAAACAAAGUUUUAUAUGAUUUCUUAAUGAAAUCCUGUAUUUCAGACUGUUUAUCAAUACGUCCUACAUCUGAAAUCAAAACAUCAAUAUUGGAAUUUGCUGCUUGACCUUUUUCCAAUGACAAAAAAUAUUUAGUACUCUUUUCCCCUUUCUCAUACCAUGUACACCUUGACCUCAAGAUUGCCCCAUCUGCAAAAUAGUCAUAUAUUUUAAACAACUCCUGUUCUAUUUCCCUUUUCUUUUUCAUUAAUUCUUCAUCUAUAUCUUCUGCUGCCAUCCUGUCAUCUAAUUUUUUCAAUUCUUUUUCAAGAGCCUUUCUUUUCUCUUCCCUUUCACAUUUCUUCUUCUUAGAAAAUGGUACAGUAAAUUCUCUAAUUUUAAACUUUAACCAAUCCCAUAGCCCUCCUUUAUCAUUACUAUCUGUAAACUCACCAAUCCAUUCUGAGUAUUUAUUAGCUAAAGCAUUAACAUACUCCACAUCAUUCAAUAGACUAUUGUUAAAUUUCCAGUAGGACGGACUAGAAUUUUUUGUCUUAAUUUUCAUGUGCAAACUAACAUGAUCAUGAUCAGACAAAACACACGGUAUGAUAUCAUUUUCACUAAUUGUAUUCUGUAAGGAUUCAUGGAUUAACCAAAAAUCUAAUCUAGAUUGCACCAGUGGGUUAUACCUUCUCCAUGUAAAUCCUUUUUUGCAGGGGUUUCUGAUUCUCCAAACAUCAACCAAACCAAAAUAUAUUUUCAGAUUUUCUAUAAGAUUCACAGAGUGCUUCCAAAUGCUUUUCAUUGAGCCACCUGCCCUGUCCAGAUCAAGGUUUUGAAUUAAAUUAAAGUCCCCACCAAUUAUUAGAAUUUCCCCAUUUUCAACGUUAUCUUGUAUGGUCAAUUCUACCUUCUUAAAAAACUCAACCUGAUCCUUCUCAUUAUUUGGUGCAUAUAUGUUGCAUAUCACAUAAACUUUCUUCUGAAUUUCAACUUUUACCAAUAAAAAUCGUCCCAUUAUAUCUUUAAUGGAGUCUAACAAUUUAAAAUCGGGUGUCUUUCUUAAUAUAAUGCAUACUCCUCUGCUCUUAGAAGUUCCAUGACUGAAAAUAAUAUCAGAUCUAACUUGAUUUCUCCAUAAUGAUUCUUCCUUUUCUACAGAAUGAGUUUCCUGUAAAAGGAUAAUAUCUUUGUUCUGUUUAAGCAUAUAAUUAAAAUAACGUUUCCUUGCUUUAAAGUCCCCCAAUCCGUUAACAUUAUGUGUCAUCAGCUUCAAAUCCAUAGUUAAGAUAUGAAUUUCUUAAAAAUACCACCAUUAUAAGAUCAGGUUUAACAUAUAUUAAACAUUCAGGUUCAACAAACAAACAACACAAAAAACAAAUCAUAACAAAGGCUAGUUCUUCCGUAUGCCUUAGACCACAUCGUGGUCUUUCCUUUUUUCCUUUGAGUGCUUUUUCCACAUAUUCACCUAUAAAAGUUCACUCUCAGAAUUAGUUCAUGAAAAAUAAUUAAACAAAUAAAAGUUUAAGUUCUUGUCAUUAACCUAAUCUAAGUAUUCCUUUUUCACUUUUCUUCUUGUUUUUAAGUAGGCAAGGUAAGUCCAGCUCUAUAACAUUAUUCAUGUUUUUGUUUUUUUAAUGUUUCCGGCAUUUCGAUGUGGAAUGAUAUUUUCUUUCCUUUGACGUUUUGAGUUAUUUCAUCUUGUAUUCUAUCUCCUUCCCGUCUUUUCCUUCUUUGUAGAAGAUGCGAGCAGGAUACUUGAAGUACACUGCUCUCCUUGUAUUUUCCUCUUUCAGCUUCUUCUUGAUGUGAAUCAGCUUCUUCCGUUGUUCACGAAUUUCCUUGGGCAACAUUUCAUCCACGUAAAUAAGAUGCUUUCCAUUGUGCUCAAAGGGUUUCUCCUUCAAGAAGCGACGUGCAUUUACCAGGAUCAUACUUUUGGACGUGUACCGAUUAAAGGCUGCAAUAAUCGGCCCUUCUGAUUCUUCCUGCCAUUUGUAGAUAGUCAUGGAGCUCUGAUGGCCUUCCAAUCAUGAUUGUGGGGUGCAUUCCUUUCACAUUGACCCCCAUCCCAAAUGCUAUGGUGGCUAUGAGGACCCUAAUCUCUCCAUCUGGGUCUCCCAUGUGAGUGAUGAUCUUCUCCUUGAUAUCCUCUUCAGUGUUAGUGUGAUACAUUUGCACGUAUGCGGAAACUGACUUAGGCAAUUCUCUACAAAACAUAAUAAAAUAAUAAAAACGGUGCUUAUAAAGCGCAAAAAAAGUGCGCCUUAUACACAGAGAUUUACGGUUACUAUUCUUCAUUCUCAAAAUAGUAUGUUCUAGUUUGGAUUUUGCCCCGUCUUUCCCUGAUAACAACGUUCAGUCACAAUUGUCAUUGUCCUAAUAGCAAGUCUGCGGAUUCCUGAAUUCUUGACUCUCACUAGGAUGUCUUCAUAUUCGUCGUCGGCAGGUGCCUCAACUACACGAAGAUCAUCCAUUAAUUCUGAUCCCUUGUUCAGCUCAGCAUGAUUAGUUAGGUGAUGAGAUGCUAGUCUGCUGUUAGCAAUGUCUACAUCACAAGUUAUUAGUUUCUUGGUAUAGCCGCCAUUUAUGUUCUUUAUGCCCGCAAAGAUCCUCCUUUUUUGGCUAAAGGAUCGCUCUACUUUCUGUCAGUGGCGGACAUUAUACAUUAUACAGGAGCUUCAUCAUCAUCAUCAUUGAGGAAGAUAUCAGUGCCUUUCAGCUUUGAUCUGGCUCCCAUUACCAGACCCCUGCUGCGAUGGCUUGAGAACUUUACUAGAAGAGGGCGAUGUAUUUUCCGCUGAUUUGCAUCAGGUGAAGACGAGCCUAGUCGAUGACAACGGUCGAAGUCAGCUGGGGUUAAUUUGACGCCAAACUUCUCCCUAACCUCCAUCAUGACCGCCUCCGGAACCUCCUCUUUAGAUUCCUUUACUCCAAGAAAUCGGAUGUUGUUGCAUCUUCCCUGUUGCUCUAACACAUCCAGCUUCAUUUCCAAAGCCGAACAAAAUUCUGUAGAGCUUUCUCCUGCCUUCUUAAGGUGCUCGAUUUCCUCUUCCUGUGCUCUUACCUUCCCCUCCAGAUCCAUUACCGGCCUUCAAUGCUCCACUAACCGUGCAGCGAUGCCAGAUACAGCCUCCUCAACUGCAUCAGCAAAUACAUUCCCGGACCACACACAUCGGAUCCAUCAGAGUGGUCCUGUUGAACUGGGGUGCAGGAAUUGUCAGGCAAAUUACUAUCAGUCCUUUCAAGAAUCUUAAGAUACAUAACCCAGGUUCUCUGGGCAACAUCGGAGCUACCAAAGUGGUAUAUCUUCACAUACUCGUCUCUAGUCAGAUGCACGUUGAUUUCUCACAUUAUUUUUGAUAUUGUACACUCUGGAAGUCCACUGGCAAUGUCCUUCCCCACUGUACAGAUGAUCUGGACAUUCUAUUACCAGUUCAUUUUGAUAUUCAUCCAAACUUCUUUUGAGCUUGUCCUGCUGGGCAGGUGUGGGUAUGGAAAUCAGGAACUCCGGAGCUUCUCCUUGCAUGUCAAGAUGAUUGCGUGCCAGACUUUCCAACCGUGAUGGCUCAGCAUCACACCUAUUCCCAGAACACAUGCAUUGUACUGCACAGACAUAACAACAUUCAUGCUUCUUCAUGACAGUACCACUGGACAUGUAGUUUUCGUUGAUGACACUUCUCCUGCACUCAAAAAUCUUUUCAUUGAUUUAGAAACACCCCCUCCAACAAUAUCCCCUGGAUAUUUCACAGUCAAGCACAUGCUCUGUGUUCCAUCCCGUCCAAUUCUUCCUGCCAUUUGUAGAUAGUCAUGGAGCUCUGAUGGCCUUCCAAUCAUGAUGGCGGUGUGCAUACUUUUCACAUCGACCCCCAUCCCAAAUGCGAUGGUGGCUAUCAGGACUCUAAUCUCUCCACCUGGGUCUCCCAUGUGAGCGAUGAUCUUCUCCUGGAUAUCCUCUUCAGUGUUAGUGUGGUACAUUUGCACGUAUGCGGAAACUGACUUAGGCAAUUCGCUACAAUACUAGUAAUAAAAACAGUGCUUAUAAAGCGCUUACCACCGAAGUCUCUAAGCGCUUUAACAAACAAAAUACUUUUGACUUACUUGACUCAUGGCGACCAUGCAGGCCAGGGGCCUCGUCAUGGCUUCUGUAUGGCGAUAGUAUGCCAAGUUUUUCUAUCCGCAGCCAGUCUUGAUGCAUCUGUCAGCCUUGGUAUAGAUCUUGCUUUGCAGUCCUCUGAGAUGCAGUCAAGCCAUCUUUUGGGUGGACGGCCUCUGGGUCGAUUUCCUGUGACCUUUCCUUCCACUGCAAUUUUGGGGUAUCUUGUAGGUUUCAUUCUUAGGACGUGGCCAAAAGAUUUGAGUCUUUUAGUAGAGACUUUGUCCAUAACAUCUUGAUCAAGGUUGAGGGAUUCUUUGAUGUGUGUGUUACGGAUCUUAUCUAGUCUUGUCACCCCCAUUAUGUGACGAAGGCAUGCCAUUUCAAACACUUGAAGUCUGUUGCUAUCUUCUUUUUUAACUGUCCAGGAUUCUGCCCCAUAAAGCAGUAUAGAGAGGAUGAGUGAUUGGUACAGUUGCAUCUUCGUGUGACUACUAAUGCUUUUUGAUGUCCAUAUGUUAUUUAGCCUUUGGAAAGCUGCCCCUGCUUUUCUGAUACGAUUCUUAAUGUCACUUGUACUAGAGCCGUUUUCUGCUAUUUUCCCUCCCAGGUACACAAAAUCUUCCACCUGUUUUAGUCUGUCGUUGGCUAUGUCGAUAUUGAGGUUGCACUUCCUUUUGCUAAUAGCUUGCACUUCUGUCUUUGCUAUGUUCACCUUGAGACCAAGGUCACAGCUUGCCUUGUAGACUUUAUCAACCAGUGUCUGCAGUUCCUCUGGAGUCUCGGCUAUCAAGACGAUGUCGUCUGCAAAACGUAAGUUGUUUAUGCAGGCGGAUGAGACACUCCUCUCCUAGCCACCCUGGUCUGUCCGCCACCAACUGAACAAGUCAGAUGGCUCACAACCCCUACCAGCUUGAAGGUAGACCAGGACGUUUACCUUGAUCCUCACAAGUUGGUCCUUCCCUCGCACUGCAUGGGUAGUGCUACCGGGAAGGGUCUCCCCCCUGCGUUCCAUAAUGAAAUGGGAGGGUCAAGAUUUAUAGGGGCUCUUUGAAAAUACAAUGAUAAACAAUUACAUAUUUAAAAAAAAAAAAAUGCAAAUAAACCUACAAAUUACAAUACAUAUGAGAUAUACAUUCAAGAUUUAUUUAUUUCUUUCCACUUGCAUAAAAAACAUUUAAUUCAGGAACAGUAGCAACAAGUUCACCGUCAACUAGCAUAAAUUCAUUAACAAUGAAACAGUUAUAAAGACUUUAAUAAAUGUGGAAAAGAGGUGGUCUGUAAAAAAGCACAGCUUGUUAAAACACAGAUCACCUUUACUGGAACAACAACAUUUUUUGUUAAAGAAGUAGAUUACAAUAGAGGGGGAGGGGGACUAACAAUACUAAUCUAGUUACCUAUACUGACUAUAAAUAAAUAUCAGAUCUACCACUAAUUUAUAGAGACAUGAUCUGCCGUUUGUCCUGAUAAGACAGCAACUUGAAUAGCAUGUGUCUCGGCCUUCCUUCAAUUGGUUUCCCAUCUCGUUGUGCACGCUCAAUUUGUGGAUUUGCAUCCCGAAGUACUGAACCAGCAAAGUGGCAACUUUCUCAUCAGGCUUUUCUCCAUUAUCCUCCGCCAGGCCGACGAUCGUUAGGUUAUUUCUCCUUGAAAAUCUUUCAAGCUUAUUUUCUGCCUCCUCAGCUUUGUGGAUUUGGGUAUGGAGAUUUUCAAGUUUCAAUGCGAACAGAGUAAGUUAAUCAUCAAAAGCAAUUUUGAAUAAAUGUGUCUUAAGACAAGUUUUGAAUUAGUUAACAGUCUGACAGUUUUUGACAUUUAAAGGUAGUUUGUUCCAAAGUUCAGCAGAAGCUUUGCAGAAAGAGCAGUGACCAUAAGAAAGAGUAUACAGCUAGCUCUGCUACCAGUUUCCUGGAUUGGCAGUACAAAAUCAUUCGUUCACACUCACAUCCCUUGGUCUACAGCUCAUCCACCAAAAAGAAAGAAAAACAAUUAUUAUAAAAGAAGAAAACACUAAAUAAUCGGCCAGCCAACGGUUGAGAGAUGCUUCUAUUUUGAUGGUCGAAUGUGUCUUUAUUUUCUUUAAUUCAGUGGAGGAUGGCUGUAGGAAAGCAUUUUAAUGUGUUGUAUCAGUAAAUAAAGAUUGAAUUCCUUUUUUAAAAAACACGCACAAAUAAUGGCAUUACCUACUAAAUGCAUGCAAAUAUAGCUAUUCCUGAGGCCUAUUCACUGAAUUCUUUUCUUUUAAGGAGGGUGGGGGAUAAAAUGAGACCUCUCCAUCCAUCCACCUUGGCAGCAACUCCUUAGAUAUUUAAUACAAUGUACAAAUCAGUGUUCAUCAAUACAAAAUAGGUAUCAAGUUAUGAUAAAAACAACGCAUUUGCCAGCUUUAAAAUCAAUGACAUCUACCGGUACUCGUUAUUUCUUGCUCCAAAUGACCUGGCUUGUCUGCGCCACUUCUCGGUGAAAUUGUGCCAUGCAACAAAGAGUGUGAUAGGAUCAAGCACUGCAGGGUUGAAGGAUGGUGCCUCUGUGAUACAUCUCAUACCCAUGUCCAGCCUGUCUGCUUCAGGAGCAACCUCUGGUAUCUCCCUGCAGCAGAUGCAGUCUCCUACAUCCAAAGAAGGGAGAACUCUGCAAUGACCACAGUCGCACCUAAAAAGAACAAUUUCAAAAUAAAACAAAAAAUAAAAAAGUAAUACACAUUAUCCAUAGAUAAACUUCACAUGAUUUUUUUUAUAAACCAUUUGUUGGGUUUCCAUGCGAGGGCAUGCUCCCAGAAGCAUGUCGUUUGGUGAAAUAUAACUACCAUCUGGAUCAGUUGAAAGUCAGCCGAUUUUUCUUUGGUUAACAGGAUUCGCUACCUCCGCUAGUUCAAAGUUCAAAAGGCAACAACACUUGUUCACUAAUCGCCUUCUGCAAUGCAUGCUUACAGCUUUUAACUAAGGACUCUGCACAUCCGUUUUGAUGGGUUGCCCCUGGAGUUACAAACUUCCAUGUGGUGCCUUUCUCCGCACAAAAGUCCUUCAGCUCUUUGUCUGAGAGUCCUUCUUUCUCAGCUCGCGUUGUGUACCAGCGAACUGAGUGCCAUUGUCGCUCAAUAUCAUAGCUGGCUGUCCUCUGAUGGUGAAAAAACGUUGCAGUACCUGCAGGAAUUCCAUUGUACUGCAAUCUACUGCCAGGCUUGCUGCCAAUGGAAGUUGCAUCCAAGUAAUCGUGCCUGAAGGAGUUCCUGUGUUGUUUUCUCGUCGUCCCUAUGGGCCUCCCAAGCCCUGAAGACCCUGGCUUGUAUAGUCCUGGUGAUGAGGUGACGAUCAACCAUCCUCAUGAUGAGGUCUGUCAGGAGUGCUUCCCGAUGGAGCAGUGCUGCCAGUUGGUCUUUCCUCCAGCCUUUCUGUUGAGAUGGUUGUUAUACCCUUCCGCAUUAUUGUUGGUCCUGAUUGACUUCCCGUGCAUACAUGUACACCACGCUGCUAUCGGCCACAUCUGAUUUUGAAGCCAAGUCCUCUCCACAUAGUCAAAAAGCUCAUCUAGCGAGGGAAUAUGGGUCUAGCCUGUCUCGGAAGAUUCUUUCCCUCCAUAGUCGCCUACCGGCCUAAAUCGGAGGGGGCGUCCAAAAAAGCUGCCUUUUAAAAAUUAAAAAUAGUAUUUUGUAAUAUUGUAUUAGGGAAACCUUGAACAACCAUGAGUUUGAUGUCAGAUAAAAGAGAAUUAAAUCAUCUCCAUUUUUCAACCACUAUUUGAGUAGACCAGCCCUUGUGAAUCUGUAUUUUCUCCAGAUUUCAUCGUCCGGCCUAUCCAAUGGGUCUAGCCUGUCUCACAAGAUUCUUUCCCUCCAUAGUCGCCUACCAGCCUCUUCCUGCAGGAGUAGCAGAAUGUCUGCCAUCAUUGUUUUUAGAUGAGCAUGAUAUUUGGUUGAGUUUGAAGGUCUAUCUGCAAUUAGCAGGACCCCGGUAACUACGGUGUAAAGAACUUUAAUCACUCGAUCGUCUAACCGGGUUGGUACGUGUGUUGCAGGUAGAACCAGUAGUUGUAUCGACUUGUCAGUGAUUUUCAGAGUUUUGUUGUCGCAUGCUUUCUCGGGAAGUACAAUGGUUUGGGUGGAGUUUGUAGAUUAUAAAGGAAUGGCCACCAUGUACGGUACUUUCGCAGUAGCCAACUUUAUUUGCUCGUUCACUUGGCUGUACCUUGUGAUUACUAUCAUUGCUAAAGUCCAUGUAGUCAUCAGGAUGAGUUGGUGUCUCCUGCACCGAUAACUCUGGUAUGGACUUCAUCUCAAUGGGAAGACUAGGGGCAUGUAUGGUGGAGGGAAUGGGAUAGGCUCUGUCUUAUCCAAGAUAUCUUGAUCUCUUUAAACCCAGAUCAGACUAGCCUUUCGUUAGCAACCCUUUCACUGUCCCUCCUAUUCCAUAACAUGCACUUUUCCUGUGGCUUGUUGCACAAAGUUCCAUUCUCCACUUAAAUUAAAGUCCUCUUGAUGAUGACACAGAAUGAGAAAAUUAGUUUUUUCCUCUGUUGUCCAGCACAGCCAUCAGUAAAAUAAUGGAUUUCCUUCAUGUCAGAGAAUUGAGUUUGGAGGUACGGAAUGACAACCCUCAAGAAUGUGUGCACAUGCAGUAACUGUUGAACGCUCUCUACUACAUGUCACUCACUACGCAUAUGUUCCAGUGUUCAAGCGUUGCAUCAGUCAUCCUACAGUACACCACAAAAGGGUGUAGAGUAGCCUGAUUGUUUUCCCAAUGAAAAGACUGAAUCUCGUCCUGGACAACGUUAAAGAAAUUUAUGGCGAAGUCACCCUGCAAAAUGAUCUCAGUCAGUAGUGUCACAGGGAAAAAAAUACUUGUCUCAUCCACGUUGUAGAUGAACUCGGCUUUGUCUUUGGGGUGUACUUGGUUAAAAUCCUGUUCAGUUCCUGGUAGUAGUUUGUGAUCCUUUCCGUUGUGGUCGCUAUUGCUCUAUUGAUUGCCAGGGAUCUCGGUCUAAUAACUCGGAAAAUUGGUCAUCUCCUUAAAAACCCAUGAAACCACCUUGUUGAUAGUGGUAUACCUGCACUUGAUUUUGACAUUUAUAAUGAGUAUAUUAAACUUGAAAUGAAACUGUUUGAUGAAUAAGAAUCUGAAUAAAUUUUGAGAUUUUUACCUGGGAACGAUUAAUCCAUAACCACCUCGGCCAUAUAUAUCAGGUGGUUGCUAAGCGCCUCUUCUUUGGCGAAGCUUCAAACUGUAGGGCUGCCGUUUGCCUCUAAUAGAGUACUUCUUUUCUUUGCCAACACCAAUCUUGCAGCUUCUUCUAGGUUUAUUUGUUCAUAGUUGUGAUAUUUGGAAUUAUGUUUCUUUGGAUUUUUCUGGAAGGAGAAAUACAUUAAUUCAUUGGAGAGUUAUUAUAUAAUUUUUUUUUUUUUUUUUUUUUUUUGGGGGGGGGGGGGGGGUUCAUCUCAUACCUUUUGGUAUUACUUAAACAUCUCUCAAACCACAAAGGUAUGAACAUUACUGUCCGCCCAAGUUAAGACUCAGAUGAAAGAGCUACUAACCCGCACCCCCUU